rnacentral:rRNA from 1 species
GUAGCCGGCCGGAUAAGUCUCUUGGGAAAUCUGGCAGCUUAACUGUCAGGCUUUCAGUAGAUACUGUCUGGCUCGAGGCCGGGAGAGGUGAGAGGUACUUCAGGGGUAGGGGUGAAAUCUUGUAAUCCUUGAAGGACCACCAGUGGCGAAGGCGUCUCAACAGAACGGACCUGACGGCAAGGGACGAAAGCUAGGGGCACGAACCGGAUUAGAUACCCGGGUAGUCCUAGCCGUAAACGAUACUCGCUAGGUGUCGGCCACGGUGCGACCGUUGUCGGUGCCGUA